CCGAGGAAGAGUAGAAACACAAUGGAGAAGGGUGUAUGGUAGUCCUUGGAGAAAAGAGGAAAAGACGAGGGAGGGGCAAUAAAAAAUAGGGAUCUGCUCCCACACUUGCCGGUUUAAGUCAGCCUCUAUCUACAGUUGACCCUGGUCUGACCUCGCUCUCUGGAAUGCUCUGCCUGCCUCUGACUUUCAAGGCAUGUCAACAUGCACUCCAAUGGCAUUCCUGAAGGGAUCUCUUUCUCCUGCGCUCUUGAAAGAAUCCUGCUUCAGCAACUCCCAGGAAGACAGCUGGAUUCUCAUAACUGCUUCUGCAUUCAGCGUGUGGUGACAUCACAUAUCGUGUAGGCUUCCGCAAACCCCACUGUGCACUUAUGAGAGAACAAGAGUGAAAAAGGGAAAGAAGAGAUGGCUUCUGUCUCGACAACUCCUCCAGCCUCUGUCACUGCGGGAGCUCACCAGUCCUCACCUCGACACGGCUGGUGUAGAGACUUCUCCGCCGCUACCCUCCCUCCACUCACGCCGCUGAUUCCACAUAUAGUGACAUCAUACAGCAUUUAUCUUUUUCCACUCAGCAUAAUGCCCUCAAGGUCCAUCCAUGUUGUUGCAAAUGGAAAGAUUUUCUUCUUUUUUAUGGUUAAAUAAUAUUCCUUGUUUUCCUCCUUUAAAAAAAUUUUAAAUUGAAGUAUAGUUGAUGUACAGUAAUAUUAUAUAAGUUACAGGUGCACAAUAUAGUGUUUCACAAUUUUUAAAAGUUAUACUCCAUUUCUAGUUAUUAUAAAAUAUUGGCUCUAUUCCCUGUGUUGUACAAUAUAUUCUUAUGGCUUAUUUUAUACCUAAUAGUUUGUACCUCUUUAUCCCCUAUCCCUAUAUUGCCCUCCCCCCUUCAGUCUCCCCACCGGUAACCACUAGUUUGUUCUCUAUAUCCAGGAGUCUGUUUCUUUUUUGUUACACUCACUAGUUUGUUGCAUUUUUUUAGAUUCCACACAUAAGUGAUAUCAUACAGGAUUUGUCUUUCUCUGUUAAUAUUCCUUAUUUUCUUUAUCCACCUAUCCAUGGAUAGAUUCUUAGGUUGCUUCCACGUCUUGGCUAUCGUAAAUAAUCCUGCAAUGACCAUGGGGGUGCAGGUGUCUCUUCAAGUUAGUGUUCUCAUUUCCUUUGGGUAAAUACUCAGAAGUGGAAUUGCUGGAUCAUAAGGUAGUUCUAUUUUUAAUUUUUUGAGGAAACUCCAUAUUCUUUUCCAUAGUGGCUGCACCACUUCACCCCACAGAUAACAUAAUUCUGGGACUAUUUAAAAGGUUAAUUGAUCAGUUCAAGGGUUCCCAGACAACCCAGCUACUAUACAUUUGAGGCCCAAAUCCACUUGAGGCUGGAGAUUUCAGGGGAAAUUUUCCAUUUUACCCAGAACUCAGAGGAAGACAAGCUUUGUCUUUCUGAGCUAAUGGAUAGUUUUUCUCCCUUUUACAGUGCGGGUAGACCUUCAAAGGCCUCGCUUUUAUGCAGGGGUCUUAGUUUCAGUUCCCUGUCUCAUGUAGGUCUGAGGCUUCACCUCCCAUUUCUGUGUAGGCUAUGCAAUCUAAGCCUGCUGUUUACCAGGUCUAAUAGCCUGUCUCUCCCUACCAGUCAUAGCAUCAGCUCGCCCCCUUCCAGGUCUGCUCUUUUUGUUUGUACCUUUUAUUUGCCAUGUUUGCCUGUGUCAUGUUUUGGCUCCUGAGGUUUCCCUGUCCUUAUUGAGAACUUAGUCAUACAUUAAAAACGUUGUUAUAUGGGAUCCAAAAUUUCCGGGUGAUGAUAAUCAGAAAUUUUCCCUUUUAUCAUAAUCUUCCAUCUUGAUAGUUACUCAUCCAUCCAGCCAUUCAUUCAUUUAUUCACGUGCCUAAUAUGUGCCAGGCACUGGUGAUACAAAGACGACAAGAAUACAUAAAACCCCAGGGGUUAAGAAUCCGCCUGCCAAAGCAGGGGACACGGGUUCGAGCCCUGGUCCGGGAAGAUCCCACGUGCCGGAGCAACUAAGCCCAUUGGCCACAACUACUGAAGCCUGCGCGCCUAGAGCCCGUGCUCCACAACAAGAGAAGCCACCGCAAUGAGAAGCCCACACACCACAACGAAGAGUAGCCCCUGCUCGCCUCAACUAGAGAAAACCCGCGUGCAGUAAAACAAAGACCCAAUGCAGCCAAAAAAUAAAUUUAACAAAAAAACCCAGUGUCACCACACACACACACACACACACACACACACACACACACACACACACACACACACGCACGGUCACUAUAUUAGUUGAUGGCUGUGUUAAUUAGCUUGAUUGUUUAAUCAUUAUAUAAGGCAUACUUACAGCAAAACAUCACAUUGUACGCCUUAAAAAUAUGCAAUUUUUAAAUUUGUCAAUCAUACCUCAAUGCAGCUGGGGAAAACGAGACGAGAGAAGCUUGAGCUGACGAAGAAAACUUUUUGGAGGGCGUGGAACUUAAGCUGAACCGUGAAGGUUAAGGGAAAGGAGACCGAGGUGUACUGAGUGCUGUGUGCUCGGCGCUGUUCUAGGUGCCGAGGUGCAAAAUGGGAGAGAAGCUCUACCUUUAGGGAGUUUCUAAAUGAGUGCAGAGAGCCAGAGAUGGUUGAGGAAAUAGGUCCUGGCAGUGUGGCGUGGGCCAUGUGCUCCAGUGGGGAGGCAUAGCCUGCCAGGGGAGCAGAGAAGAGGCCUUCAAGGAGAUGUUUAAGUUGAAUUUUGAAAAAUGAGUGGCCAUUUGCAGGAUGAAGCCAUAAUGAAAGAGACUAACAGUUUUGACUGCAUACAAUUGAAAACUUACGUAUGAAAAUAAUAAUGGUUGAUAUUUAUUGAGCAUUUACUAUGUGCCAGCUGUAGGUUUCUCAGCAUUGCGCUUUAUCAGGUUGAGGAUGCUCUACUUGGGUCAGUCUUAGAAGCUCAUCAACUUAGAUAGAGAGGGCUGGUCAUCAGAACAGUGUCCUCCAACAGAGAACAGACUUGUGGUUGCCAACGGAGAGAGGGGGUGGGGGAGGGAUGGAUUUGGAGUUGGGAUUAGCAGAUGCAAACUAUUAUAUAUAGGAUGGAUAAACAACAAGGUUCUAUUGUAGAGCACAGGAAACUAGAUUCAACAUCCUGAGAUAAACCAUAAUGGAAAAGAAUAUGAAAAAGGAUGUAUGUAUAUUAUAAGUGAAUCACUUUUCUGUCCAGCAGAAAUUAACCCAACAUUGUAAAUCAGCUCUACUUCAAU